rnacentral:rRNA from 2 species
ACCCUGAUCCAGCCAUGCCGCGUGAGUGAUGAAGGCCCUAGGGUCGUAAAGCUCUUUCGCCUGUGAAGAUAAUGACGGUAGCAGGUAAAGAAACCCCGGCUAACUCCGUGCCAGCAGCCGCGGUAAUACGGAGGGGGUUAGCGUUGUUCGGAAUUACUGGGCGUAAAGCGCACGUAGGCGGAUCGGAAAGUUGGGGGUGAAAUCCCGGGGCUCAACCCCGGAACUGCCUCCAAAACUAUCGGUCUAGAGUUCGAGAGAGGUGAGUGGAAUUCCGAGUGUAGAGGUGAAAUUCGUAGAUAUUCGGAGGAACACCAGUGGCGAAGGCGGCUCACUGGCUCGAUACUGACGCUGAGGUGCGAAAGUGUGGGGAGCAAACAGGAUUAGAUACCCUGGUAGUCCACACCGUAAACGAUGAAUGCCAGUCGUCGGGUAGCAUGCUAUUCGGUGACACACCUAACGGAUUAAGCAUUCCGCCUGG